AUUUGUAAAACAGGUAGAGGGUUCGGCACAUUUCGGAGUCACAUUUAAAGUUAUAGCUAGCGUAGCUACGCGUUUAACUGCAUCGCUAUCAGUUAAGAGGAGAAAACAUACCAUUUGCAGUCAACUCUGACGGGAAUAGGAAGACAGCAAUGUCAUUGGAGGAAGAAGAAGCAGGUCAAACAUCUGAGUAUAUAUUGGUUGCCAAACUAAACAAUGCAAAAAACAUCUCAAAUUUAUUGAAAGCUGUGCACUUUAAGGAGACUGCUACAGUUUUUAUAUCUGAGAAUGGAUUGAAAGUGACUGUUGAAGAAAGUAAAUACCUGCAAGCAAGUGCAUUCGUCCAAUCAUCUGUCUUCCAAGAAUACUUUUUUUCUGAAGAGAGUGCAACUUUCAAGAUUAACUUAACGGUUCUACUGGAGUGUUUGCAUAUAUUUGGUUCAUCGUCCAAAGAAACAGGUUCAUACACAGCUUUGAAGAUGUGUUACGCAGGACAUGGUUCUCCUCUCAAAUUAUUAUUAGCUGAAGAUGGUGGUGUGUUAACAGACUGUUGCAUCAAUACACAAGAGCCUGAAGAAAUGGCAGAUUUCAACUUCUCCAGCACUGAUGUCAUUAACAAGAUUAUUAUGCAGAGUGCUGGUUUAAAAGACGCCUUUCAAGAACUAGACAUGACAUCUGAUGUCAUACAGAUACUAAUGUCACCAGAAGCGCCUUUUUUUCGAAUUUCUACUUUUGGCAAUUCUGGAAGUGCACACGUUGAUUACCCAAAGGAUUCUGAAAUGAUGGAAACAUUCGAGUGUCAACAAACGCAAAGCAACCGAUACAAGACGUCACUGAUGAAACCUUCAACUAAAGCUUUGUUGCUGUCAAACAAAGUGUCAGUAAGAAUGGAUGCAAGAGGAUUUUUGUCCCUGCAAUACAUGAUUUUAAAUGAUAAUGGACAAGUUUGCUUUGUGGAAUAUCUGUGUGCACCUAAUGAAGAUGAUGAAGAAGAGGAGAAUUUUGAUUGAUAAAUAUUGGUUACAAGUGAUUGGUUAGAAUGCUGGUUUCUUUAUACUGAUAUGCAGCUGCAACAAGAACGUUUCACAUAAAAAGAAGGAAUUGAGUAUCACUAUGGAUAAACUAUUACCAUUGACUUUGUUUGAGACACUACGGUUAAAGAGGAUGACUUGGGUUCCGUUGUGGGCUCCUAGACUAUAGCCAAAAGACGGAUGAUUGACCAACUUAUUUUAUUAGUUUAGAGAUACAUAACUUUAAUACGUAAGAUCAAAAUAAAUAUGAAAGGCGUACUUGUAUGUUUUUAUAGAUAUUAUUCUCACAGAAUUUUUCAGUUUUAUGCCUAACAACAGUGUUUAAUUUAUUUCGGCUAGUGCAAUGUGUCGUACGAUCGUAGUUUUUUAUAUAAACCAAGUUAGUGCGUAUAAUAAAAAACAAAAUAUAUACACAUUAUCGUAAUGUCA